GUCUGUUUUAAGUGCCCAGUCAUUUUCAGUAGCAAUGACUACUCGAGCCAAUUGCUUUGAUGAUGAACGCCUAACAGUUCUCAAGAUUUUGUAGAUUCAUGAAUUUCCAAACGGUUAAAGAAAUUUCGGCUCCGGACCAAUGUGAGGUUACUGCCCAACUCUUGGUUCCGCUCGUUUGUCAUUUAUUAGCUGAAAGGAGCUACGCUUCCUCAUGAGGGAUUAGGAGAGUAGGAAGAAGAAGGUGAGAAAAUAGUUUAGAUUGUUAAUGUGGCCAGAUUCUUUUGUUCCAAGGAGAAGCAAUUCUCAUACCUUGAUUUUGUUCACCAAACACUUCAACCAUUGCUUCCCGUGUUUCUACAGACAAGAAGAAUUUGGUUUGCCGGGAGGAAAUUGUCAACUACUAACACUAGAGCUUGGAGCAUUAGCCACUUCACUUCUAUGUAGAUGAAGUUACUUUGGUCUGGAGAUUUGAAAGUCAGCACUGUAAACUAAAUAGAUUGCAUAUAGGAGAACACUACCUUGUUCUGUAGCCAUUGGAAUGAUCGAAGCAGCAACUUGACACACACAGCACAUCUCCUCAAUAUCGAUUUCUGUAUACUCUCUCACAGAUGGGGUAUGAGUUCUCUAGAGUGGGUACUUCGAUAUGAGCAGGGACUAUGUAUUUAUAUGCAUCAGUCGGAACUCCUUGCCCAUCAAGGAGUCCUCAACCUCUCCUUAUUGCAUCAGAAUUAGUAGUUCUAAUCCACUAUGAAUUAGGAACCUUAGCAGUCUUGGACUUAAACUGAAACACUUCUCUCCAAGACUUACAAGUCCAGUUAUAAUUGAAUUCCUUAGUCUCCACAUAGCUUUGGAACUCUACGUUGAU